rfam:Anaerolineaceae bacterium 4572_78 ex4572_78_scaffold_3605, whole genome shotgun sequence.
GUCAGCGACCCUCGGCUAGAAGUCGGGGGCUUGUAAGAACAAUUCUACAAGCUCCAAGUUGACCAGACUAAGUCUUUAGUGUUGUGUAGGGGCGGUGCCAAGAGCCCACCCUGCCUGAUGAGCAUAAGGUUAUAUCCUGCCAUUGAAGACUAUGUUAUGAGUGAAUAUAUAGGCACCAUGGGAUGAUUCUCCAGUCCCAUAUUCUGCGGUCAGUGUUAAACAGGUUUAAAGGGGUUAAGCCAGUACUUCUGAUAUGUAAACCACUCUAUAAUAUUAUUGAGGAGAUAUUUAC